CACCUUAUUGGAAUGUCAAUACAAAGUCUAGACCUGGGGCCUGGGGCGGUCGCCCAAUUUGACCUGCCCCAGGACCGGCCCUGAUUGGUAUCAUAUUGGUAUUACCAUGAGAACAGAUAUAAUGAUAUGCAGUGUUCCCCAACAAUCUUGAGCAAUCUUAAUUAUAGUACGAAGUUGACCAACAACCUGAUCUCAAGUAAGCUCUUAGGAAAUGGGCCAACAAUGCACC
rnacentral:lncRNA from 1 species